rnacentral:lncRNA from 1 species
AUGCUAUCAUAAGUUUCAUACAAAUCGUAUCAACUGGAUAAAAAAAGUAUCUCACAAUAUGAAUGUUUGAUAAUUUGCAAAGUUCUCUACUUUCACCCUAAAUAAAUGCAGGCAUUGGUCAAAUCCCUUAAUAACCCACAUUUAUCACACAUUUUGUACUUAUAUGUCUGUUUUGCAAGGUCAAUAAUAUCCGGAAGUCAAGGUUGGUUAUUUGCCUCCAGGGCCAAUAUCGAUAUCAGCCCUCGAAAUCCAUACCUAGUCCCCGAAUUUGACUUCCGGUAACCUGUCAAUAAAAAACUAUUUGUAAACAAGAAUUCAUAUGAAGCCGCCAGACAAUCAGGACCUUUUUCUCCCAGUGUCAAAUGACGAUGCUAGUAAAUUCAUAUAAGAAAUGCAAAAUUUGCUCAUUGUUGAAGGCCGUAUGUAACCUAUAGUUGUUAAUUUCUGUGUCAAUUGGUCUCUAGUUGAGAGUUGUCUCAUUGGCAUUCAGACCAAAUCUCCUUUUUUUAUAAUCACAAACUUUCCGUAAAAUGUUGAAUUAAAAAAAUAUGACGCCACAAUGAAAAAGUUAUUGU